rnacentral:rRNA from 1 species
GGCUUAGGGAAACCGAUAAGUAUCCCACCUGGGGAGUACGCCGGCAACGGUGAAACUCAAAGGAAUUGACGGGGGCCCGCACAAGUGGUGGAGCAUGUGGUUUAAUUCGAUGAUACGCGAGGAACCUUACCUAGGCUAGAAUGCGCGUGACCGGCUCAGAGAUGAGCCUUUCCUUCGGGACACAAAGCAAGGUGCUGCAUGGCCGUCGUCAGCUCGUGCCGUGAGGUGUUGGGUUAAGUCCCGCAACGAGCGCAACCCCUAUGGUUAGUUGCCAGCACGUAAUGGUGGGGACUCUAGCCAGACUGCCUGCGCAAGCAGUGAGGAAGGCGGGGACGACGUCAGGUCAUCAUGGCCCUUACGCCUAGGGCGACACACGUGCUACAAUGGACGGUACAGCGGGUAGCUACCAGGCGACUGGAUGCCAAUCUCGAAAAGCCGUUCUCAGUUCGGAUUGGAGUCUGCAACUCGACUCCAUGAAGCUGGAAUCACUAGUAAUCGCGCAUCAGCCAUGGCGCGGUGAAUACGUUCCCGGGCCUUGUACACACCGCCCGUCAAGCCAUGAAAGUCUGGUAGACCUGAAGCUGGUGCUCGUCACAGAAGCCAGUUAGGGUAGAACAGGUAAUUAGGGCUA